ACGGCUCCCAGUCCCUCUCUUUCCCUAACUCCCUCUUCUAUCUCCCUUCUUCCUCCAUUCUUUCCCCUCACAAGAAAAAGCUCCCACCGUCAUCACCAAGCCCAGCCAUGAGUUCCACCACCAACAGCAACCAUUUCUCCUCCUCCCUUUAUUGUUGGAGACGAUAUCAUCGAAGAACCCUUCUAGUUGAUAGCUGGAUUCGUUACCUUGAAGCGACAUCGUCGUUUGAUCACAGAUCGGAACCGGUCGGGAACGAUGGGUUAGCAGUGUUGAAUAGCGUUCUAAGGAUGUAUAUUGAGCUGAGCACGUAGGAAUUUGUAGAUUUGUAUUAGGAUUUUGGAUAAAUGUAUAUUUGUUUUGGCUGUGCUGGUUAUAUCGGACUUGUAGAGAAUUGUAUGAUUAUCUUGUGUAUUAGUUAGAUGUUGGUUUUGGGAUUUAGCUGAGUUAGUCACGUUGAAGAGCUUGUGACCCCUUUGCUUGAGUUUUGGAAGUGUGAUUUCAAUUUCUUGGAAAACGAACCUAGUGUUGACCCUGUUUACCCAGUCAACGGUAAGUCGGGUUGUUACAGUUGGUAUCAGAGCCAGCCCGCGACCGUGGCUAAUCCUUAGGGUUAGUUUAUCUAGCGGGCAUACAAUCUUGGAAGUAAGGAAAAAACGUGACUUGAGGAUUUAGAUGUUUAAGAUAAGAGAUAGGAACAGAAGUGAAUAUGAUUGUGGUAUUAACCUAGGUGUUUGAGUUAGUCUUGUUUUCUUAGAAAUGUAGGAUGUGAGGUGUGACGAUUACGGGGUAAAACGGGAAGACGCUCUUAACGAUUGAUCGUGAUGGCAAGAAGAUUCAGUUCGUUGAUGCAACGUUUGAAUUUAUUUUCUGAUGAUGCCAAUGUCUUGUUGCUUAUCAUAGUUCUUUGUCAAUUAUUGUUUUAGUAGCUAGAAUAGUAUGUCCUAAGAUUGCGAAUCGUUUCAUCUUGUUGCUAGCCCUUUUCUAUCAGCUUUUGUUUGUCGAUCCAUGAGUAUGAUUAUAGUUUAGUGCACGAAAGCAAGGUUAUAUAGUUGUGUAAACUCGAUAGUCUUCGGUUGUAAGUGAGUUGAACAUUGAGAAUGUCUGUGACGUUGUAGGAGAGUUAGUGAAGACAAAGUACUUGAAGCCAUCGUGAUAGAAAAGUCUAUGAUAAGAGCAUAUGAUAAUUUUCAAAGCCUAGUGAUUGAGUUGAAUACGGUGCUCAUAUGUUGGUGUAAAUGAUGAAUUUUUUUAUGUUGUUAGACCAUGUCAUAUAUUAUAGUUUGUUUGGAUAUUAGAGCUUAUAGCUUUAUUAGAGUUAUUGGAAAAUUGUGUGAUUAUCAUUUAGAAUGAACAAAGUUUCUUUUGCUGGUUGGAAGAGUAAAUAUGACAUAAGGAUGGGAUGUCAUUCGUUAACUUGAGGUUUUGUUAAGUAUAAUUGAUUAUAUUAGUUGCAACCGCAUAUGUAUGGAUCUCAACGUAAGUUACUUUAGUGUUUAUGUUCAAAACCCUGGGUUAAGAAAAAAGAAGUAUGUUGGAAUCUCAUAUAAUGGAUAAAAGUAGAACUAGUCCCAAGGCUUGGCGUUUUAUUGUUCAUCAUUGAGGAAUAUGUUUACUACUUUAGGUAAGUUAGGAUUAGAAGUGUCUUAUGAAACUUUGGAUGCAAUGAAGUUUGGAAUUUGACAACUAUUAUUUGUUUGCGGCAAAUCAUAUUGAGAAACUAAAUUGGAACUAAGUCAGCAUGAAAGCGAGACCUUUGCUGAAGGAAAAAUUUGCAUAUGUCUUAGAGAAUUAAUGGACUUAAGAGGUAUUUGUAGUGCUUUGAGAUGCUAUAUUGUGAGGUAGAUAGGUAGGAGGGUUUUUCGUCUAAAAAUCUAAGGUAUAUUCGUUAUCUUGGGAUUGUCUUACUAAAUGUUUGUGUUGGAGUCAAAAAUAUGAAAUAGGAAUUUUGAAUGUAGUUAUAUAUCGAAGUGCAGGUAAAUAACAAAUUUAUGACUUGAGGAGUAAGAUGGUUAUCAUUCGAUAAGGACAAAUAGGUUUUGGGUUGCAUGAUGUUCUUAUUAAAAGUUGUGUACAUUAGUUGACUAUGGUGGCAUAGCAAUUUUAUGUAUAGUGAGUAGUAGCUUAUCGACUUGCAUAACCAGCGUUUUUUUUAAGCGAUUGCAUGUCAUGUGCCACGCAUCUCAGCUGAGACAACACUUUAGAGACAAUUCACACGUUCUGCAGCCGAACAGUUGACCUUGGAUGACACCUUACAGUACGAGGAGACCCCCCGUUCAGAUCCUAGAUAGGAAGGCGCAUGAUACACGUUGAGGUAGUAUAGUGCUUGUGAAGGUACUAUGGUCUGAUCACGUUACCGAAGAAGUCACGUGGGAGGCAGUAGAUGCCAUGAGACGCGAUUAUCCCUGGUUGUUUGCUUAGGCAUUUCUAUGUUAAACGCUUUUUAGCUAUUGCAUCUCCUUAGUCUUUGUGAGUUAAGUUCGAGGACGAAUUUCAUUCUAAGUUGGGGGACAUAGCUUUACGAUAUGUAUGUUAGCUAGAGAUUGGAAUAUAUACUGGAGACUUAGUUUAACUUCGAGGACGAAGUUUAUUUCCAGUUGGGUAGAAUGUAAUAUUCGGGAAAAUUAAUAUUUUAAGACGAGUAAGUUUAAGAGAAUUAUCAGUGCGAGAAUGAUCCUAAAUACACAUGAUAAAAAAAUAAAAAAAAGUUGUUUUUAAAAGAUCUCAAAAUUUCAACUUGAAAUACAUAUACUCGAGUCAAGUAUUCUUGAAAUUGUUUUCCAAAAGAUAUUAUAUAUACUCGGAUAACUGGCAAAAGGAGUUGAGGACCAAACUUAUCGAGAAUUGCAAUGAUGUUGUGCAAGAAUAAUUCGAUGCAAAGAGUUUAAAAGAAACAUUUUGGGAAUAUUGAAAGUUAUGCGUUAAUUGUGUGUUAAGAUUGAAAAUCUAUAAAGGAAUAAAGAAUGUAGAAAAAGUAUUUGUGACAUGUUCAAUUAUGGGAUGAGAAAUUUUAAUUAAAAGAAGUUUCGAAAGGAAACAAAGGUUAAUACAAUUAAUAGUAACUUAAAGUUAUGUUGUAGUAAGUUUGAUUGAAUGGCCUAUACGUGUUGAGGAUAAUGUAAAAAUAUAAUUGAGAAAGCUUUCAACGGUUUUUAAUGAAUGAAUGAUAACUUUGGGACUCUAUAAAGGUUUUAUUGAUGGUAAAAUGUGAAUUAAGAAAAAAGGGAUCAAUUGGAAGUUUAAAGAAUACUUAAAUUGUGAGAGGUUUGACUUUGUAAGUGAGGAAAUGUUUGGUUAUUAAAGGGUAAAAAAAAAAAUUGGGAUUGUAUGAAACUAUUAAUGGUAAAACAUGAGUAUAAUAGAAUAAUGGUUUAGAAAAAAAAAAUACGAAUUUGAAUGUCUAAAGGUUAUUGAAGUUAUUUCGGAUGAAUUGGUUAUGGAAUUUGAAGUUUUAAGCGUUAAAUGAAGAUUAGGGUUAUAAAUGUUAUAAUUCGAAGUAAGUUGACAAUGAUCGAGUUUGAGUUAUUAAAAUUUGAUAGAUUAAUGAUUGUGGAUAUCUUUAAUGAAUAUGAGAUUCAAUAAAUGACUUAAGGUAUUCAUCUCAAAGUAUCUCGGGAGUUAUAAGAGUUUUAAUGAAAAAUUUAAUUGUAAUUGGGAAACAACAAGUAAGUUGAUGAUUUAAUAUCUCAAACUAAGGAUAUAAAAAAAAGGUUGAAGUGACCAAAUAUGUAAUUAAAGGUAUAAAAGAUUUUGAAGUAAGGUGGUUGAUUUAAAGUACAUGUAAACAUUCACGUAAAGUAAAUCGAGGUUGAAGUUUCAAAUUUAAAGGUUUGAAGUAAUUUAAUUGAGGUUAGUUGUGUUACCAAUAUGUAAUUCAUCUUAUAUGAUUGAAAAUUUAUAGAUAUAGUAUGUCUUGAAUCAAAGUUGGGGAGUAACUAAAUUUUAUUUGGUUCUCAUUUCACGAAAUUUGAGUUACAUGUUAUGACUAAGGAUGAUCAGAAGUGUAUGUAUAAUUUCGGGGACGAAAUGAUCUUAAGUUGGCGAGAAUGAAAUAGACUACAUUUAAUAAAGCUUGAUUAUAAGUUUAUUAAGCUGAUUGGGGUUAUUAAGUAAGUUAAUUCGAGUAAUAAUAUUAUUAUUUUUAUAAUAUUGACUCAAGUAUUUGAUUUGUUAACAAUUUCAAGAAAGAGGUAUAUUUUAUUUAAUGUAUAAAAUUCGUAUAAAGAGUACUUCGAUAAAAGUGUAUUUUGAUUAUAUUUUAUUAAUU